GAUGAACGCUGGCGGCGUGCCUAAUACAUGCAAGUCGAGCGAACGGACGAGAAGCUUGCUUCUCUGAUGUUAGCGGCGGACGGGUGAGUAACACGUGGAUAACCUACCUAUAAGACUGGGAUAACUUCGGGAAACCGGAGCUAAUACCGGAUAAUAUUUUGAACCGCAUGAUUCAAAAGUGAAAGACGGUCUUGCUGUCACUUAUAGAUGGAUCCGCGCUGCAUUAGCUAGUUGGUAAGGUAACGGCUUACCAAGGCAACGAUGCAUAGCCGACCUGAGAGGGUGAUCGGCCACACUGGAACUGAGACACGGUCCAGACUCCUACGGGAGGCAGCAGUAGGGAAUCUUCCGCAAUGGGCGAAAGCCUGACGGAGCAACGCCGCGUGAGUGAUGAAGGUCUUCGGAUCGUAAAACUCUGUUAUUAGGGAAGAACAUAUGUGUAAGUAACCGUGCACAUCUUGACGGUACCUAAUCAGAAAGCCACGGCUAACUACGUG
rnacentral:rRNA from 1 species